rnacentral:rRNA from 1 species
CAGUCGCCACGGUAAUACAGAGGAUGCAAGCGUUAUCCGGAAUGAUUGGGCGUAAAGCGUCUGUAGGUGGCUUUUCAAGUCCGCCGUCAAAUCCCAGGGCUCAACCCUGGACAGGCGGUGGAAACUACCAAGCUGGAGUACGGUAGGGGCAGAGGGAAUUUCCGGUGGAGCGAUGAAAUGCGUUGAGAUCGGAAAGAACACCAACAGCGAAAGCACUCUGUUGGGCCGACACUGACACUGAGAGACGAAAGUUAGGGGAGCAAAUGGGAUUAGAUACCCCAGUAGUCCCUGUCUCUUAUAC